rnacentral:rRNA from 1 species
UUGAGCUGACCGGUACUAAUGACCCGUGAGGCUUAACCUU